GCCGGCGGGAAAAGGCCCUCCGCGGGGUCCUGCUCUUGAAGGAGGGCCCGGUGCGCCGCUCCGGCGUCUUCUCAGCGCCUCGGGCUGCGGUUGCAGAGUUCCAUUAUAAGUAUUGGUAAUGGGCUCAUGGUGUAAAAACCUCUCUGCGUGUUAUCAGAUUUUGGAGUUAGAAGUUAGGUGAAUCAAAACGCGGAGCGCUUCCUAAUAAUUAAGUUUAGUAUGUCUUGGUAAAAAUGAAUUUGAUCUCUUUGGGACUGAUAAUUAAACCUUGAAGCAGGCCGGAGUGCUAGAAAUCUUUCGUGUGUUUGUACAUCACCUUCCAUCAGGGCCACAAAGCAUCCAUCUCCUGUGAGCAGGGGUUUGUGCUGACUGCUGUGCCUUGGUGGUAGGCGCUAAGAAGACUGUGGGUGAGGCACAAUCUGUGGAGUCAUCUUGCUGUCUGUCAGGUGCUCCUGCCCUGCAGAGAGCUGCAAAAAGAUAUUUGCUGAAUCACCCUGGCUUGAUUUAACACGCAGUCUAGCAUAAGGAGAGCUUGGAGAACCUACACUGAGCACUACAAUGUCAGCCUCUCCUGCCCUUGGGUGGGAAUUAAUGGAAACUGCUUUUGCUUAGUGACGUUCACAACCCAAUUGGAGAGAUAAGACUAAGUUUGUCAACCAUUUUUUAGGAAGAGCUUUGAUCGCUGUCAAGUGAAGCCUUAAUAAUGGCUAAUGUGCUUCUUAAUUAAUUUAUCUCAAGGGAUGAGUACUAUGCAUGUGGUACUGGGAUCCUGCAUAGAAAUUGCCCUGUGAAAUCACCAAGAGGAGUAAAAAUUCCUCUCCGCAUCUGUGUAGUAGGAAUUUCUCAAUCAAAGUAAGAAAUAAAGUUGGUCUGAAGCCACCUUGAGAUGUAUAAGUAUAGCUUAAAAUGUAAGAAAAGAAUCUGAAGGGAUACAUGCAGCAGACAUUUCCUUAUUCACAUGGUGAUUUCCUGGAGCAGUGAAAAGCAAAUACAAACAUUAGGGUAAAAAGAUCAAAGAGAGAAACUUAAAUGUAAUUAAGUUACACUUAAGGCACUCGUUAGUUUAAAGUCUUGGUAAAGACCGGUGGCAACCAAACUAGAUAGAAAGGUCAAUGAAUUGUUCCACCAGUAUCUGAACAAACUGAGUGAUGGAGGAACUUGCUCCUCUUAGUGCGGCAGUAUUCACAUUUGGCAUUGAUGUAAAUAUUCAAGAUAGAAAGGCCAAAAAGCAUAUUGUGAGCAAAAGUCAGAAACAAAAUUUCCUGCUGCCAAGCUUGGCCUUUUGCCAAGAGUGCAAUUAAAAACACCACCUUGCCUUGCCAUCUCCGAAUAAAUUCUUUGACGUGUAGGGAAUACAAAGCUCCGCACUGUGCAGACCAACACGAGCUGUAUGUUCUAGAAAGUGCUUUAAAAAAAAAAAAAAAUCCAAAACUUUGCUAUUGGGAUUUUUGUUUUCCCAGCACUUAGAAAAGAAUAUGCCGUAUUGCUUCACCAAGUGUGUGGGUAGGCAUACAUGUACGCUUUAAAACAAAAAACCAAAAUACCCUGGAAUCUGUCCUUUCCCUUUCCUUGGCUGAGACAGGUGACCAGGACAAUGAAUGCAGACUAUUCUGUUGCAUUCUCCUGGUUGCCAAGUCACCCUCGCUAAGGAACUGCAAUGGAAUUUGCUUAAGUGACACCUUGAUAGAUUGCCAGGGAAAAGGAGUUGUGCUGUGCGUUUUAGCGAUUGCAUGGAUCAAUCUGCACACCUAUGCUGAAAAGGUUGUCUUAAUGGGCACAUAUCUUAGCCUGGAGGAUUCUUUGCUAACAAGCUUUCCUUCAGCUUGCUGUUAUUUCUCUCUAUAUUGUGGCUGCAGAGAUAAAGUAACUGAUAUGGAAUUUGAUUUUUUGGUUGCAAAUUCUUAAGUCUGUUUUUCUGACUCCUAGCCAAGGUCGUUGUGUUUAUUAUCUUGCUGCUUUUGGAGAAAGGAACUCUGUAUUUGUGCAAAGCUCUCAUUUUCUUUGGAGAGAAUGAAGUCAUCUCCUGUUUGUGUAGUAAGAUAAAAUAUUUUAGCAGCUUCUUUACAGAACAAGUUGCCAAUUUGUGUGGUUUUUUUUCUUGAAAAAUAGAAAAUCUCUAUGAAGCAGAUAUUUUCCUUGCUGAUAAUGCUGACUUUCCAAGGGCAGCUGAAACAUAGAAGAAAGAGAAAAAAUCCUAAAUGGACCAAAGAUUUGUGUAUGAGAAGAAGAGUUUGAGUAUUUGAAGAUUUUGAGGGCUUUACUGAAAAGAAAAAGGCAAUUUUGAAAAGAACUAGAUGGCAAAACACUACACAAAGCAGGGAGGGCAAGCAGCUAUGUGGAAGAACAAGCAAACUGAAGGUGAAGGAAACUGAAGGUGAGCCCAAAGAGGAGAGGAUUUCAAAGUCUCUGAUUCUUGUAAUAUCUGUGAGAAGAAUCCCAUUGAUUUUAAGAGACUUGAUUUUGUACAGAGAUGAUUCCAAGACAGGAAUGCUGUUUCUCCUGUGCCAGAAAAUAAGGAUGACUUCAGCAGCACUGAUAUUUCAGAUAAACUGAGGGGACUGGAAAGAAUCUUUAAGACAACAAUCAAAAAUCAAAACACAAGAAACACAUAAGCUAAAUACUGUUACAGUCAGAGUAAAAUCUUAAUGAGGCAAUAAAUGCAGCAGAGACCCUUAUUUGAGCUGUGGGGACAUGAGUAACUGGAUUAAAAAAAUCCAGGAAGGAAGCACUGCGUGCAUGUGGGAAGAAAGAAAACAGAAUUUUCAGAAAAUACAAGAAAGAAAACAGAAUUUUCAGAAAAUACUAAGUCUGAAGUACUCCUAAGUGCAAGGAGGUGACCCAGAAACAAAGUGAAGCAACUGUGAAGGAAAAACAGCAUUUAAAAUGAAUUCUUCUACAUUGAUGUAGCAGAUGAAUCAUGGAAUUGGAUGAGAUCCUACUAUGAACACAGCAGGUAGAGAAAAAAACAGUGAGGGUGGAGGCUGGGAUGGUAAUAGAGACAUCUUAAGAGAGUUAGAGUCCAUGGCAGCAGUGGAUUAAGGAAUUUCCUCUGUGGUCAUGUGCUAGGUAGCUUUGAUUGUGCUUCUGAUGAGCAAGUGCUAACUCCAAUCACCAGAAAGGAAUCUCUGUAAGCAAAUUACUGCUACCAUUUCACACUGAGUAGCAACAUUUCCUGCAUUCAGGAAGGCAGCAAAGUGUUCACUGUGGUUUGAGAUGAUUCAGGGUUAACGCUCCUACUCUAGUUUACAGAAGUAGCCCUGGAAUCUGUCUAGGGCUAUAAGGAGCUUGAAAUCAGAGAAACCUGUACAGCCAAACAGCAGCAUCUUGUGCCUGCAAGCCCAGGCACAAUCCAUCUCUUUAUGGAUAUCCUCAGUGCACAGACACAGGGAGGAAGACAAGGCAGUGCACAAACCAGACCUUACCUUACAAAAAUACAGUGGAGCUUGACAAGAAAUGGCCUGAAAAUAUCGAAGGGUUUAAAAUGAUGUAAAAUUCAACUGAUCCCCUUUUGUUCACAGAAUGAAAGAAUGGAGAAAUUGCCCUUGUGGCUCUGGCUGGCCUUUUAAAUGACCACUUUAACCGUGCAUUUAUACAAUUAAUUUGGAAUUAGCAGAAUACUGAAUGCAAAAUGUUUUUUUAAUUAACUUAGUAACAUCACGCUAAAGGAAAACAUCUGUGAACCAUAUUUUAAGGAGAUGGCUAUUAAAUAAAGAUAAGCUGUGUUUGUUUUUUUCCCCACUAAACAAUGGUCACAUACAACUUGUACUUUAUAACAGAUUUUAUUUUCUGUGUACAAGAUUCCUGUGCUUUACUGAAUUCAACAUUAGGUAUUUUUUCAAAGGCAAAUACAGAUAAACCAGAAAAAAAACCAACAAAACUAUUGGGCCUUUUUGUUAGUCCAAAUAUGCUCAUCUUGAUAUCUCAGAAGGUAUAUAUUAAGAUAAAGCAAGUAUAUUUAUAACUUUUAAUUGAGAUAAGGGACAUAGCCUAGUGCUGUGUCCAAUGCAGGUAUAUUUGCCUUGUACUUACCCACUUGUCUGCAAUUGCAGGUUAAACAAAGAUGAUGAUCUGUUCCCUUUUGCAACAAAGAGACUGUUAGCUUCUACUGUGCAAAGUGUUCUGGGUAUACCUAUCUAUUAUGAAGGUUUUUAAUAACAGCAGCUGAAGUAUCAUAGUGGAAACUACCCAGUUUUUCCUGCUUAUGUAAACUCACUAAAAUCAUCUGGAAAAUACUUUCUUAGCGUGGGACAAAUUGCUCAGCUUCCAUUUAGUAGUAAGUUUUGCUGACUGUGACAUAUUUGAGAACAUAAGCUACAAGUGGGUAUUAGAGAUAGGUUUGCAGGACAAAUUAACCAAACUCUGGACACCCAUAUUAAGCAAGAAUCCCCAUGUGGAUUUGCUGACUGAGCAGAACCUUCUCAAACAGGGCUGGCAUCUGUUUAACCUGUUGCUACUGUUGUGAGGAAACUUCUUAGAGGAUUUUUCUGUUUUUUUUUUAAUGAAUGGAUAUUUAUUGGCUUUCCAGAUGACAUUGCUAGUCCUCAUAAACAGGAUGUUUACUUUGCACAUAAUAGAAAGUGUAAACAGAAAUACGAGCAUCAGUAUAUGCUCACUUCUUCAAUGGUGAUCCAACUCCUGCCUUCUAAAACACAGUCCCGUUGUUGUCAAUUUGCACUUCCAUUCUGCACCAUUUGUAGAUAUUCCUUGUAUAGUUUUUCUUGGGUCUCAUAAAGUUUCUUUAGCUUCUUAAUUUGUCCUUUGCUGAGUUCUUUGCCUUCUGUAUCAUGUGUGGGAAAUCCCUAAAAUAUUAAUAAAAAAAAAAGAAUAUUUUGGAUGAAUUUUGGACUGCUUUUGUUCCUUAGAGAAUUCUGUUCUCUUUGUCUGACGUAGGAGGAUAAUGUCAAUUAAUGACAAACUGUCAGAAUGAGGUGCAUUUUGGUUAAUUUAGUCUACUUGUAUACGUUCCCUUUCAAGUUAAUGAAGGGACAGAGGGUGACAUUUGUUUUCUGGUCUCUACUAAGUAAGGGAAGCAUAAACUAAUUUCUAGAUGUUUAUAGUUAAGAGAAUAAUAGCUCACCUAUAAACAGAUGGUUAAAAGACCAUUUUUAAUGAUACUAGUAUAUCAAUCCCAAGGCUUAAAACAAAAGUCCUAAGAGUUUUCUGUACUUGAUGGAGAAAAUGCAUUCAGUUUUUACAAAUCUUCUGCCAGGCUUAUGUGCAUAUUUUCCUGUGCUUUCAUUCUUUAUUCUUACUUAUCCCGAGGGCCUGAGUUUGAAUGGGUGAAAAGGACGGGCAGAAAUAGGAUCAAACACUGAAGAAACAGUGCUUUGUUUUCCAAAUAAUGGCUUUUAUUCUCACAGGAGCAACCAGAGCCAAGUUACCAGUACAGCUCCUUAUCACAGGAUGGAGGAGGGGAGCAGAAUAGUGUCUAUUUCCAUCAGUUGGGAUGGAUGGCACAGAUCUGCAGAGUGUUGCUUUGUAAUGGAAGGGCCAAAGGGGAUCCACGUGCAAUGAAAAAACCCAUGAGAUGAUUAACAGUUUGACAGUAUUGCUCCACAGUGCAAGAAAACAACAAAGUAAGAACAGCUAUUACAAAGCUGCAAGACACUACAUGGGGUACCUUCAUGAUCUUCAAAUCGAACGCCAAGUUCAGGAAGGAUGUCAUCUCGAAGAGCAUCGCUCAACUGCAGCACUUCAGUGACUGUGGAGUAUGAAAAACACUUUUGCUGAACUAUGAUUUGGUGGAAGUGCACAUCUAUCCUCAUACAUACUUAUUUAACUGCAAUUAAGAAAUUGCCACUCUCUCACACAGGCCACAGAAGGGCCUUUUGUAUUAAAGCAAGGAGUGUUUUAAAGUAAUUUCUCUCUUCUUUUAGCUACAGAAAGCACGUUUCUGCAAGGACUCUGAAUUCAUAAAUUCCUUCCAAGAUACCCCUAUUAGUCCUGAAAAUUGUCAUGAGAGUUUCAGUUCAGCACCAUAAAAAAAUUUUUAAAAUGAAUUUAUACAUCUGUGCUAUUAAUUCCAUCUCACCACUUUUAGGAUGGAAAAAAGUUGCACUGUUGGAAUAGAAUAGAUUCAUGUAAGGAGGAAUAUGGAAAUUUCUGAACUGGAGUGGACCUGCAGUUCAUUAAUCCUGCAACCCGACGCUGCACAUUCUUUGCAGUGUACGUUUAACAAUCCAUGCAAAAUACUUAGACUGUGUUAUAACUCCAGUUAUUUUUAAUACCCACAUGAAACG